CCCUCUCUCUCUCUCUCUCUCAGAAAUGGAAGGUCUAAUUCCCUUUGUUUACAAAGCUAUCGUUCAAUACAAGAAUGAAAAACAAGUACCGGCGAUCCGAUCUUGGCUCUGCGACUCCCCCUCCGCCUCCUACAUCAGACUUCCCAGUGGUGAUUCCGGCCGAUUUCAGUUCCAAUCCGACGGCUCGCCUUCUUCAAAAUCACCCUCUUCCACCGCCACCCAGAUUCUGGUUUCCACCGGAGUUCAAUCGCCGCUCCGCCAUCUGACGACUCGACGGGUUGCCGCCUAAUCCGACCACCGACGAUGGGUAAAUAAAAUUAAAGAAAAAAAAACUGUUUAAUUUGUAAUAUCUGGCUUAUAUUUUUUCUGCUUAAAAAGAAAAAAGAAAAAAAAGGAGUCUUGAAGUGUUUGGAAAGCCCAAAGGCACCGGCGCUUGGGAUAUGAUCUGUGUAAGUUGUGAAUAUUGAUGAAUGUAAUUGUUUGAGAUGGAAGUUUGAGUUGUGGA
rnacentral:misc_RNA from 1 species